GAUUUAGGUGGAUGUUUACCAGUCACACAUCCGGGUGUUGAGUGACCCUACCACAGCUGGAUGUUCUACGAACAACAUAUUCCUGACUGACAGCUUCCAGAACAUGGUUGCCUUGGGUUUUAUCUCCAUUAAAGCAACUCUUCCUUUGUUUUUCUGUGAAGACCAAGGGUGACUCUGCUGAAAAGAAAUUUGCCAGCGUACUUGGCUCCUUGGAGGGCUUCUCCAUGUGUCUUCAGAUCCUCCAAAUCGGAACUCAUGCCAAAUGUAGCCAGUGAUGGAGUUGUCUGUGCUCCGCUUCAGACAUUCACUGAAGAGGAGAAGAUGCUGAAAAAUAUGGUGACAAAAUUUGCUCAGGAACGAGUUGCACCUUUGGUACAAAAAAUGGAUGAGAAUUCGAAAAUGGAAGACUCUGUAAUACAGGGAUUAUUUGAACAAGGGCUGAUGAGUAUUGAGCUUGGGGAAGAAUAUGGAGGAACUGGAGCUUCAUUUUUUUCAAUCAUAUUGGUGGUAGAAGAAUUGGCCAAAGUUGAUCCAGCUGUAGCACUUCUAUGUGAACUCCAAAAUACACUAACAAUUAAGUUGUUUAGCACAUAUGGAACAGAAGAACAAAAGAGAACUUACUUGCCCAGAGUUGCUAAAGAUACAAUAGGCAGUUUCUGUCUUUCGGAGGCUGGAUCUGGCAGUGAUGCUUUUUCUUUGAAGACUCGGGCUGAAAAGAAAGGAGACUACUAUAUUAUCAAUGGCUCAAAGAUGUGGAUUAGCUUAGCAGAACACGCAGGCGUUUUCUUUGUGAUGGCAAAUACAGAUCCAUCCUUAGGAUACAGGGGAAUUACAUGCUUCAUAGUAGAUCGCAACACAGAGGGUCUACAUGUAGGGAAGAAGGAGGACAAGCUUGGAAUCAGAGCAUCUUCUACCUGCCCAGUAACAUUUGAAAAUGUUAAGGUUCCCGAGACCAAUAUCCUGGGACAGGUUGGACAAGGCUAUAAGUAUGCAAUUGGAAUGCUAAAUACCGGCAGAAUAGGUAUUGCUGCACAGAUGCUAGGACUGGCACAGGGGUGUUUUGACCACACAAUUCCCUAUACAAAGGAGAGAGUCCAGUUUGGGAAAAGCAUUUUCGAUUUCCAGGGGAUGCAACAUCAGAUAGCUCAGGUGGCCACACAGCUGGAGGCAGCGAGGUUGCUGACCUACAACGCAGCCCGCCUUGCCGAAACAGGAAGGCCAUUCAUAAAGGAGGCCAGCAUGGCCAAAUACUAUGCUGCUGAGGUUGCAACACUGACAACUAGUAAAUGCAUUGAAUGGAUGGGUGGUGUUGGAUUCACAAAAAAUUAUCCAAUAGAAAAGUACUAUCGUGACUGCAAGAUAGGUACAAUAUAUGAAGGAACUUCAAAUAUCCAGUUGAGCACCAUUGCAAAAAACUUAGCACAGGAAUACUGAAACCAUAAGGACUUCCUGACUGUUAACAGAAUUAUUUCACUAUACAUCCAUUGUGAAAUACACAUUUAUUUGUAAUUAUAAAAGUCAUAAACAAGAAUACGUCAUCGCAGACAAAAUCAUAACCAUGAAUCCCCAUUUCAGGACAGUGAGUGUGUCAUUCAUGUGAAAUCAUGAAUUCCACAUUCAAAUCCAAAUCAUGGGUUAAAAGUAUUUCUUUCUGCCUGAGACAAUUCUAAGCUAGCACAUUGGCUGAAGUUAUUUUGUCGCUUUAAGUUAUACAAACAGUCUAUCUCCACUUGGAGAUUUCAAAGCAAAAAGAAAAGUAGCCAAAACUUUGGCUCGCCUGGUGUGAAAGGUUCUGUUAAGCCACCUGGCAGAAAGGAGACUACACGUGCAGCAGAACUGUUGGCGUGGCAUGAAGCUGCUGUUUGUUCAUGAUGCCCUUUAUUAGCAUGGGGUGCAGGAGAGCUGUAGAGCUCCUAAUACGGAAGACUGACCCAUAAAGAAAUCUCAAGGUGACUUCACUGAAGAUCCUAAAGCAAAAGCACUCCCACCUGACAGAAAGCUGUGUCUCAAUAGCCAAGUAACCAGCACUUUCAGAACUGGGUUUAUUUAAUACACAAAACGAGGACUUCUGAACGUGCAGAAACGUACGUUCAUCAAACAUCUUGCAGGCACCUCUGAAGAAAGGAAAGAUAUUACAAGUUGUAACCACACUCUUGCAAAAGAAAAAAAAAACCUGAAUAGCAACAGGAAAACUUAAAAUACAGCAGUAAAUCCCCAACUUCCACACAGCAGGCUUGUGUUAUGUGAGGGUCACCUAACCAGGAAAUCCGCAUAUAUGGAGGGAAUAGUAAAUUCUGCUCUCCAACCAGCCAGACCAUUUGAAGUGUUACACAAACCAUUGUCACAAUUUCUGACAAUUCUAAAAACAUCUGUUGUAGAUCAUCAGAUGAGGCAGGGCUGGACUGCUUUGGGUAUGUUUAACAGAGGAGAGAAGUCAACUUGCUGACCUUAAGAGGACUUAAAAUGAGUUUUGCUUCACCUAACAGCUGGAGAGUCAUGGUGGGAAGGUGCCCAUUGGUGGGAAGAGUGGAAAUGGAGCGGUACGGCGUGUUUGGUUGAGGGCCAAAUGCAGGCUGGCAGGCCAAGAAAUGCCUUAAUGCUUGCCAGCUGUGAGACAACUUUCUUUCCUAGGAUAGAAAGAACGAAGGGAAGAGUGGAGCUGCAAUAUGAUGGGUUCAUGUUGAGUUUGUAUCCCCUGCCUCUCUGUGUCCCCUAAGUUUGAUUGUUUCAGGUUUGAAAAGUUUCCAUUUGGGAGCCUGCAGAAGGACUCUGGCUGGGUCUCCACUUCGCAGGAAACGGAAAGCCCUGAUACACAGAUCCAGAGCUGAUGUCCUGCUGCCUGAGGGGUUGUUCCCUCCCUCCUCUUACCAACAUUCAGCUGAGACUUCUAAAUGAUGACCCACCCAUCAGAUGAACAGAAUAAUUUUCUGGUCAUCCUUUUCAUCUGGUUAAGUUUGCUGCAAGUUUCUUGGAUGUUUUGGGCCCAAAUUAUUUUCUAAGACAUGCUGCAAGAUAUUUCUAUUCACUAAUUUGCAUCUUAAGGAUGCAAAUUAAAUGCAAAUUUUUCAAUAUAAGCAGAGCAAUCAUCCAGUUUUAAUUUGGUACUGUGUCGAUGAGUUUUUCUGCCUUUGUUUAGAUGGUACCUAAAGACAUGAUAAUUACAUUUUAGAAAGACACGAGCUUCUCUGGAUAUUUUUUUAUCUGUAGGGAUACAAAAAGCAGAGAAUGUGAAAGGUUAAGAGUCCCAGAAGCUGCAAACGUUAUUUAUGCUAAAAAGUAUUAGCUGAUACAACUUUGUUUAUGGAAUUACUGUAUCAUGCACCCAACAGUGGAUAAAGGAUGAGCUGAAGCGAAAAAGCCAAUUUGAAAUGUUACUAAGUUAUAGGCACAACGUUUUACUUUUUUUUUUUUUUUUUUUUUUUUUUCCAUUUCAUCUCGUAGAGAACAGCUUUGUGUUAACUCUGCUAAACCGACCUAAAAAUAAUCCAGGAAUAAUUCAGAAAUUAAGGUUCUGGAAAUUCAGUUAGGUACUGAAAAGCUCCAUAGAACUUGUUUUGUUAAUAGAGCUGUUGAAGAUACAGUUGGUAUGGAGCAAAUGUGUUUUAGUGCAAAAGCUGAUGCUGUUUGUUUUAGGUAAGAAAAUGUUCAACAUUCUGUUGCUGAGAGGGAGGAUGUUUACACACCAAAUGCAGCAUUUGCUCCAAUUGUUCCCCUAAGAAUUGAGGCAAAGCACUUUUUUCAGCUCAGGUACUUUCUGAACUUUGAAAAUGCUUUAUGACUCCCUAAUAUGUACUAGAAGAUGGUUGUAUGAUAUGAAGGCUGUAUUUACUUCAUAGUCUUGUUUUCCCCGUGUUCAGAGAAAAAUUCCUUAUGUUCCACUGUAUGAUUUUUAUCAAACACAAACUGUUACGCUGCCACCUUAAAUUCCAGACUACUUUGGUCUUCUCAGUGUCUGUCCAACCAAGCUUUAAAAAGCAAGUAAUUUGCAGUUUAAUUGCAGCAAUGUCUACAUGUGAUUGACAUGGCAGGUUGUCUUGAUUGUUGCUUGCAUAAUAACAGCUAGAUUCAGCAGGCUACUUGUCACAAAAUAUAUCUGACUGUCGUGCAGGAGUCACAGUUUCCAAGCUCCAAAGCAAGGUGCAGCAGCAGGUCUUCCAUUUUGUACUAGAAGUAUUUUAGCUCUACUGUGCUUUGACUUCAGUGAUUCAAUUUGCAGAGAUAAACAGUUCUCUGGAGUUAAUAUAGCUUGUCGUUACUUAAUAAUUAUUUAAAAUGUGCCUUGUUGCCCUUGUGUAAGAAUCUGGGCCACGAGAGUUGUGGUUGUCCUCUUAAUUCUUCAGGGCGCUGACACAGCACUGGGUGAAAGCACCCGAUGACCUGGUGUCUCAGACUGCAGUAUAAUAGCCAACCAUACUGCUGCCUCUACUUGGAAGUGUCCAAAAAUCUUUUUUUUUUUUUUUUUUGAACUGUAAAAAGCUGCCUGGCACUGAAUUACAUCUAUUUCUUGACUGAAACAUAUCUGCUCUAUGCUAACCUCAUUACCCAGGAAUGAUUUCUAGAAGAGGAAGUGAAGAAUAAUUAAAUCAUUCCUAACUGAAGGAAAUGCUUCGCAGAACUAUGCAAAUUCCAAUUUGGCCAAGAUGCUGUGGUUUCAUGUUCUAUUUCUGGGAAGGGCAGAGGGAGAAACCGUUAUUUUUGGAGAUAUGGAUAGCCAGGUUCUGGCUUCAUUUUUCUCUCUUGCCUCGAGAUGAGAGCGUGCUGGGGCAUCCCUGUUCAGGAGGAAGCAUGGUCCCUGCUGUCGCCUGCUUCUCGCUGCCUGUCCUGCUGUAAGUGCUUGUAAAUUAAACUUGCCCAACUUGCUGCAAGCGUCAUCUGCUUUGGCUGACGCUUGCCAAGACCCCUGAAGGGGGAUAUUUUGCCUGCCUGCAAAAUCAGGGCUCAGCCUCAUCUGAAGAAGAGACUUUGCUGCAGUGGCGUGCUGCCCUGGCUGUCCACACAGGGCAAAGGUGCGAGGGGAUGGACCUGCUUCCCCCUGCUUCUCAGCCUGUGAUACAGUGCCAGGGGAAAAAAAAAAAAAAAAGCAGGAUUACAUUUUGGAGUUAAAAAACAAGAUGCCUGUGUUUGAGCUUAGCAGGAGUGCCUGGGGGAGCCCGCAGGCUGGGCACAGCCCUCCCGGGGCUCACA